rnacentral:lncRNA from 1 species
ACUCGUGCGAUGCGGCAAGAAUAACAGUCUUACUGCUUAAAAAAAACAAUUUUGAUCGAACGAAUAUCGAAUCAUGAACUAAAUUCGCUUGAAAAAUUUGAAUUUUGAAUUAUAGUUGUGUUUUCAGUGAUAAAGUUUAAGUUUUGAGUGAUAAGUGGCAGUGUGUGUGUGUACCGAAUCCCGUUUGCUGGUUAUCAAGCUAAACAAGAGGCUGUGAACUUCAGAUCAUCAGAUGAAUAGCGAGCUCUCACACUGAUUCAUGAUGUGCCGGAUGUCAUGACGAGGAGAUGAAAAGACGACCCGCUUGGUUGUUGG